CCCGCAAACAUGUAAAAAAGGAAACUUCUCCCGCAAAACAGCUACGAUUCACGGACGUGAGAUCAUUCCUCACCACGAUUCCCAUCCCUCCCCAAAUCUACACGUCGACACUUUCCCAUUCACAUAUGCGCCAGAUCGCUCACCGCAUUGUCUCCCCCGUCCCUCCUUGCGCCAUGGCCAACUCCCUCCACAGCACCACAUCGGCUUAUAGUCACGUCGCGCUAGGUAUGGGCCCACGGGAGCCAGCGCCGUGGCCCCAGGUCAAGUGUUGCUCAUUGCCACCGCCGGCACUGCCACCUACCUCGACGACGGGAUCCAGGGCCUCCGCAUCCUCCUCCUUCUGUUGGGCGAUGACAAGGAUCCGAUGUUGCGUGCUGCUCCAUCUACACGCCUUCUUUCUCAUAGGAAUCGGCAUCGCAGAUCGAGGCUCGGAUACACAAGAGGCAGUACCAAGCAGCUACAACUCUCCGGUGACAGCAACAAUAAGGCAUGUUGCCUUCUAUUCUUUUUCGGAAAACCUAGCUAUUCGUGUGCUUUUCUUAUCACCCUGAAUCAAAUAAUAGUUGUCAAAGCUUUUGACUUAAGGCAUUCAAAUUUAUACAAAUAUUUUCUUAAAUAGCUGCUUGAAUAUUUUGCUUUUGCAAGGAUCAAGUACAUCUAUGUUCUAUUACUCACAUCUCAAAAUAAUGUUCUGUAAUCAGGAUGCAUGAUUGGCAUGGAGUAUGGAUCAUCUUGCCAUGUUGUGUUCUUGUGUUUAAGAUUGUGUUUUUGCAGAUGAAGUUGUUGAUCCUGCUGAGGCAUGCCGCUGUCGUCAGGAUAUUUGUGACUGGAAGUGCCUUUUUUCGAAAGAUUCCAGAGAAGAAGUAUUUCCCUCGGCUUCUUCUUCGAAUGGUCUAUUUUUGGGCACGUCGCCUCCUGGUAGUGGUGUUUCAGCUGGUGCUCUGCCUCCUCCUAGUUUGAGUGGUGUUUCAGCUGGUGCUCUGCCGCGGGUCUCUGUCCUGUAUCUUCCUCGCGUGGUGCUUCUGUUUCACAUGGCCAUUGCCGGUCUUCCUAAUUCUGCUGUCUUGCCGAUAGUUCCUGCGGCCCCUCUCUUUGUUGGUGCAUUGGAUGCUGUGCUAGAUAUUUCGUCUUUGGGCUCUUCUUGCUUGGUGGAUAUUCAUAUGUACGGAGAUGCUGGCUGCCCAUCUACUUUGCAAAGGACAAUUUCUUCCAGUUCUAAUGUGCGCACGAGAGGGGGACGUCAGGGUUUGUUGUCAGCUAGCUGUCUGAAUCGUUGUGCUUCAGAUUGGUCUCAUGAUCUGCUGCACAUACGACAGGAGGACAAUAGAAUUAUGCUAAAUUGUGGCAGCGCCGUCGAUAUAUUCAUGAAGGAAAACGUCCUGUGUUGGGUUCUUCAGGUUUACCUUUUACUUUACCACGCCUUUUUGCAUUUUGAUUUAUUCCCCCCCCCCCCCCCCCUCAUAAUUUGUUCCAGCCGAUGGGGUGUCUCUCUCGGGUCUAGAGUCUAGACAUAUUUCUUCCGUGUGGUUGUUUCCAUCUUCUGGGGCCUCUUUUUGUCGGCCGCAGGUACGGGUAUUCUCUUCUUCGAUAUCUAUACCAUCUUUUGUGUCUGGGUGUCGACCAGACUUAAAUUCUCGAUCUAUACACCUGGUAUGCUCCAUUUAGUUGUAAUUUAUUGUUCAUUCUCUGUUUUGUAUGUUCGGUUGUUUGUCUAAAUGUUCAGCUGUCGACGACACGUCAUCGGGCCACCGCUACCAUCACUGUCGAACUGCCGUUAUUGUGUCGCUGUCGAGUUGCUGGCUGCAACGUCGCCGGCUGCUGCUGAUAUGAGCACUGUCGAGCUGUGACGGCGCUGCCUGACUUGGAGCAGAGAGAAAGAAUAGGAAGAGAUGCGAGAGAGAGAGGAGAAUUUAGAGCUCUAUAUUCAUUUCUUUCUUGCUCAUUGAGUUACAGGUCUCGUGGUUUUGUAAAACAACUCAACAGACCAUGGCUGAAGGCCCCCACACACAUUAACUUAACACACGCACUCGAAGCUGGCGCCACCACUUCCAACCCCUUAUCGGUGGCGCAAUGCUGCAUAUAAGUCCCCUCGGGCGUGACAUCUCCAUGUACAUGCAACGCUGCAUCAAUCUUUUGACAGAUCAUUAAUGUUCAUGAUUUAGGUGAAGUGGCAAAACCCAUAUAGUAGUUCUUCUCUGAAUACAAUAGUUUCAUGUGGCUUCCGAGGUUGUGCGCCUUCCGGGAUUUAAAGCAGCGUUACAGUGCUCUGUACUCAUACGCAUGAUUGACUAAUAAGAUUGCACUACCACUUGCACGUAAUCUACUGUUUUUUCCGCAUUCCGAUUGUGCCUUGUAGUGUGUUUCUUUGAUUCACAUUAUGCCUGAACCAGCAGGAGCCUCUGAAGCAGCGAGAGAGUAACGGAUGGGGAAACUGGUAGAUCCGUUUGUGUGGAUGACAGCUAGACGGUGGCAACUCGACUAGGUUUGCCGUGAGAAGGACAGACUACGCGAGAGAUUUGGCGUGUGUAGUUUAUCUUGUCGCUAAUUACGGUGGAGUGUGGUUAGAUUAUCAGCUUUGUUAGAUGCAUAGGGCAUGGAAGGAGCGGUGGAUAUGAGCUGCUACGACAGAACUACUGUGCCUUGAGCAACGUCAGAGGAGCCAACUCCUGCUCAGAAUACAUUUUAUUUUCUUUAGCCGAUUAAUUCCAAUAAUUAAUGAGGGCUGAUGCACCCCGGGAGCAGCUGCCAAGAUGGAAUUUUGUACUCCCUCCGUCUGAAAAUACUUGUCAUCCAAAUGGAUAAAAAUGGAUGUAUCUAGAACUAAAAUACGUCUAGAUACAUCUUUUAUCUAUUUUGAUGACAACUAUUUCUGGACGGAGGGAGUAGAAAAUAGGACGCCUUCCACCGAAGGGAAACUACGGCCAACUCCACUCUCGUUGGUUGGCGAUGCAUGACGAGGCCAAUGGACAGCUCGGUGUUACACAAAUAAAUCAAGGAGAACAUGUUAAUAGACCAGCAACGUGCUAGGAGGCCAACGGAGCAUUACCUGGUGUUGACGGGAGCAUUACCUGGUGUUGACCGGCUGGCAAAUGACAUUUAUUCCUUAAUGUUUUGGCCCGGAAACAGAGGAUUUUGUCACAUGUGUAGUGCAUUCUAAAAAUUAUAAGCUAAGGAUGUUACGCCCUACCAUCUACAAGAACAAUGGAUUGUGUACUGAACAUAAGCUUUUUUUGCAAGUUUGCUCUCAGUUAUGUCUUUGGCAGGGCAUACUUGAUCAUAAAUUUUGUACAAAAGCAAGAAGGGGUGCACGGACAACCUACUAUGAGAUGGCACAGAUGGGCCUUGAGGACGUGGCACCGUUCAGGAGGGCAGCAUUUCGACAACACUCCAGCAUAGACUCAUCGUGAUACCUAGACGUGGGGAGCCUGAGCAUUGGGACAUCAAGAAGGAAGCUGCUGCUGAUGAGUACGACCAUCUUGCCGUGGAUUGCUGCCGCUGCCAUGCCCCAGCAACAUGUUGUCGUGCCAGUGCUGCAACCUUCUACUACAAACAUGAUCGCAGGCAAUGUGGUCAUGAAGUUCUGGGAUACUUAACAUUCCCUGUAUUUUUCUAGCAAUGUCUUAGUUAGGUGUAAUUUGUGUAUUUUUCCGCACUUAUCCUUUCGAGAAGAGAACUACUAUAAUUUGUGUAUGGACCGAAGUGUUCGGUCAGCAUGUGGCAGAUUGGUUAAUUGGUUUAGAGAAGGCGGGCAUACAA